AGUAGUUGAUGUGACCUACAAAGCCUAAUACAUUUGUUUUUCGUCAUGAUCUAUGUAAGCCCAUGCUUUAUUGGAAUCUGUGUUAGAAAACAUGUCAGUCUAUUAUUCCAUUAUUAUUACAGCAUUUUGCUACUGCCAUCAUUCAUCCCUCACUCAACGAACAUUCAUUGGGUACCUUUUAAGUAAUAGGUAUUAGAUACAAAAAUACAGAGGUGAAAAAGAUACCUUUUUCCCUCAAGGCUGUCACAAAGGCAAAUAGUUCGAUGACAGUGUGAAACGGGCUACAAAAUAUGUAACAAUAUGGGUCUUGAUUGCGCAAAGAAGGAUAUGACGAGCUGCAGCUGAGAUGUUAGGGGAGGUCAAGGAGGUUUUUACAAAUAACGUAACUCAAGCUAGGUCUUGAGGGCUGAACAGAUUUUACCAAAUAAAUAGGAAGGAAAAUACUUUCUCUCUAAAGAGAGAAUAAGCACAGAGGUGUGUAUUUAACACAUUCUAUAAAGGGAAGUGCAAAUGAUUCUUUCAACAGUAUUGAUGAAAUUGUGAAUCAAAAGUAUCUGAGAUAGGACUCAAUCAAUUUAUUUUGCCAAGGUUAAAGACACACCCAUGAACACAGCCUCAGGAGAUAAAAAAGCUACAAUUUGCCUACAAGGAAAUUCUUUGUGGGCUUCAAGAUGAUGACAUGUGCCCAAUGUGGCUGGGGUACAGCUUGGGUUUUGUCUUUUAGGGAGACACAAGACAUCAAUCAAUAUGUGUAAGAUGUAGAUUGGUUUGGUCUGGAAAGGCAAGACAACUUGCAGUGGGUAGGAGGCUUUCAGGUCGUAGAUUGUAGGUGAGAAGAAGCAGUCAGAUACGCAUUUGCCUUAGAUGAGCAGACGGAUGACUUUGAGUUCUGUCCUUUGUCCCGCACCUGUGAAGGUAAGCUAUCAAUUUACAUUGCCAGGGUGAAAUCAACAGAACUCUUUUAAGGUAAAGAUCUUGAGUCCCAAAAGGAAUUUCCUUGUGGGAAAAUUGUGAGGGAGGUAUGUAGCUUUUUUAAUCUUUGUAGUUAUUUAGGAAUAAAAUGGGAGGCAGCUUUGCCUGAGCAAGUUCCCAGCUUGACAUUUCCCUUUGGCUUAGUGGUUUUGGGGUCCUGAGAUUUAUUUUUCUUUCAAAAAGUGUAUACACCAGACAUGGUGAAUGAUGUAGUCUCAUGGUGGGAAGCUACCAGAAGGGAACCUAGAGAGGAAAUGAGAAUGAAGUCAAAGUAGGCUUCCCCUAACUAUCAAAAUGAACUUAGAAGAGCCUGAUGGUGGAAGUGGAAGCCACAGAAGGAUUUUAAAUAGGAGACUAAUACAGUUUGGAAAAACACGCUGCCGGGUGGAGGAUAGAUUUGAGGGGUCGAGAGUGUAGGAUGGGAAGAGUGAAUGAAGAGACUGUUGCAAUCAGUAGUCUUAAGUGGGAGGUAGCGAGGUCCAGGAAGUGAGGAUGGAUUGAAGCGAUCCAUCUACUGUGCAAGAAAGCAGAGUGUGGGAGUACUGGGGACUGAUUCAAUUUGAGAGGACUGGAGGUGUGAAAAGGAAGCUUGAAUUACAGCAUGAUUGUUCCAGGAGGCACCUGACGAGGUACUUCCGUGGAGAAGAUAAUGCUUUCAGCUUAGGACAUUGUGGUAAAGCUUUUCAGAAGGCAGUUGGGUGUAUCUAUGUCAGAAGCUUAGAAGAGGGGCCUAGGUUGGGGGCACGGCUUUGGGGUGAUUACAUUGAGCUGGUAUUGAAGCUACAGGGGUUGAUGAGAUCACCAAGUAUUUUAGGUGAGAAGACAAGAAACGAUACACAGAACUUUGAAUGACACCAAUAGUGAAGACUUGGAUGGUGAAGGGGAGCUGGCAAAGAGAUUGAGAGAGAAUGCACAGCAAGACAGAAAAACAAGAAGUCUAUUAGCAAACUGAAUGUAUUUUCUUUAUGCCUCACUGCUUUCAUGACUGUGUCUAAUAUUUUUCCAUGAGUCCAAUAUACAUUUUUACUAGGUAUAUUGCUUUUAUUUUUAGAUAUAAUGGUUUUCAAUUCCUUGUGACUUGACACUGGACUCCAAUUUUUAUAGACAAGACACUUUGGAAUUUAAACUAUAUGCAUUCACAUAGUGUUUAUAAAGGGUGAAAGUAAAUCUAAACUCUUGAUUCAAGACUCAGGAUAGCAGAGAUGCACCAGGGGAAGGGGAAGAGGAGUGAGAAUUAGAGCAAUCUAUUAUAAGGGAGGAUAUUUUGAGAGGAAAACUUUUCUCUCUUAAAGACAAAUUGUUUUCUUGCUAACUGUAUCUCAACAUCUUAAAAGAAUCCCUAGUUUAUGUAAUUGCUGAUGGCUAAUGAUAGACAUGUCCUGGUGUAUGAGUAAAUGUAGAUAAGGUUUAUGAGCCAUUUAUUAAAACAACUUGUCUCCUUAGUGGCUAAAAUUCCCCCCCCCCAUGUUUUCCUCAAGGAGUCAUCCAAUGCUGUUGUUUUCUAUGGAACCCUAUAGCUAUUCUGUAGGUAUUUCAAUUUUCAAACGAAUGUUGCAGGUGUGUGUGUGUGUGUGUGUGUGUGUGUGUGUGUGUGUGUAAAAAUAUAGAUAUUGUGGUUUGGGUAUUUUAUAAUGGUGAAAUCUAUAAACUUACAGCUUUCAGUACAUUUCAAAGGCUCAAUAAUAAACCAUAAUGUUUGACAACUUCCCAGCCAUAUUCAUAUAUUAUGACGUGUAUCUCCUUUAACCAAAAAAGCUGCGUUUUAAACAUUUGCUUGUAGUUAGGUUGCAGAACACUUUUCCCCCCAUGGAAAUAAUGUCAUAAGUGGGACUUGCAUUCAAGCCCUGCUUACUGUGGUUGUUUGAAAUAUGUUCAGAAAUUCUUUGACAAAACCUCCAAAUGGUAGAGCUAAUUCCUCUCCCUUCAGCAUGGGCUGGAUUUAGUGACUUACUUCUAACGAAUAGAAUAAAAAAGCAGAGGCAACUGAAUGUGGCUUCAGAGACUAGAUGACAAAAGGCACCUUGGCUCUCUUUUCUCCCUUUCUCCUGGAUCCCUCGCCCUGGGGCCAGGCAGCUGUCACGUCCUGAGGAUGCUCAGGCAGCCUGUGGAAAGGCCCCCAUGGUGAGGAACGGAGGUCUCUGACCAAACGCCAUGUGAAGACUCCAGCUUGGAAGUUGACCUGCCAGUCCCUGUCAAGCCUUGAGAAGACUGCGGGCCUGAUGAUAACCUCACUGCCUAGAACCACCCAGCUAAGACGCUCUGCAUUUCUGACCCACAACAACUGUCAGAUAAUACAUCUUUGUUGUCUUAAGCCACUGAAUUUUGCAGUAACUAGUUACCCAUAACUAAUACACCCACAAAACCCUGUUUAAUUCAAUUUGAA